rnacentral:tRNA from 2 species
UCCCUCGUGGCGCAAUUGGCUAGCGCGUUCGACUGUUACACACCACGGCAUCGAGAGGUUGGUGGUUCGAGCCCACCCGAGGGAG